CGUGCACACACACACAUUGCAGUGAGAGAGAAUGCUAUGAGAAAGAGAUACGGAGAAUAAGGACAAUAACAAAGUAGCAUGGAUACAACGAUAUGCUUAUAGACAAAAUAUUAAAAGAAACAACUUUUGCUUCUCCACGAACUGACGAAACUGACAACUAUACUGCAGCUCUUACUAGGGAGGGUUUGAUACCUAACCAUCGAUACUCCGUAAUACCAGAAACAAUCAGAGACUUUACAGUAGUCCGGAAUAUAAUCAGACAAGACCCAAAAAAACAUGCUUACAAAAGACCUCCAACAGUGUACCACUCCCUGAGAAACGACAAGGACCCC
rnacentral:lncRNA from 1 species